AGAGGAUCAAGGAGUGUAAACCGUGGAAUAUCUCAAUUCUUUCGCCAGUUACACAGAGCUGCCGUCCUUACAGUUUUGUUUGUGGUUUUGAGGUUUUUGAAUAUUUGUACACUAGAUGAUUAUGCACGGGCCCAACAAUUUAAACUGUAAUCGUGUGUUUACAUGUGAUUAAGAUUCGAAAUAGCAAUAAAUGGUUAAGGAUAACAAAAAUUUCACAAACACAACAGAAUAAUGCUGGUUUUGAUCAAUAGUGAUAGAAACAUAAAACUAUAUAUUACUUCCCUAGGGGCUGGCCGACGUGUGUAAAAUUGAGCUAAUAUUUCAUUUUGUUGUGCUUCUCUAUUAAUCAAAGCAUAUGACUAAUUCCUCAUCUCCUACCCAUCAUUUUAUACCACAUGAUCAACCAGAUGUAUUAUGUUUUUGAGUACUUACACCAUGCAUGUACGAACAACAUAAAUCACAUAAUCCCAUUAAGAACCAUAAAGAUUAUUGUAAAAAUUUGUGCAUUGCUGGAAGCCCGGAAACAUCACCACUUUGUAUUCGUCCUGACCUCCAUCAAAAGAGCUUCUUGCUCCUAUUCUGAAAAGAGAACAAAAUAUUAAACAUUUUUUCUAUUGAAAAUAUUAAUUAAUACAAGUCCCGCACCACAAAUUUGAAAAAUACCAUGAUAUAAAGAUAAGUUAGAGACAAGAGGGGGAGAGAGACCCCAAGGGAAAACAAACUACUCUAGAAGACUAUACCCAAGUGUCGAGGUACACCCCCUUUAGAGAAGAUCGAACAAUGUCAUUAAAGGAGAAGACACUAUUACUAUAAUUUAAGGAUGCAUCAUAAAUUAAAGAGUAUAAGAUCCUCCUAUCCUUAAGAUUAAAUCGGUCAACAAUUACGGAAAAAUUGGAGAAAUGCAAUUCCUUGGUUCUUUUUCUUUGAUAAGCUAACUCCUAAAAUUAUAUGGAUAUACCAAAAUUUAAUGCAAAUGAUCUCCAAAAAGUUGGUCGAUACAUUUUACUUACCCUUAAGUAAAAGAAAGAAAUAAGCACAAUCAUAUGAGUAGCAAAUUAUCAAGAACAUACACGGUUAUGAAAGUAGAUACAUUGAUACAGUUUCUAUCACCACUAUAAAAAUAAAAUAUGGACUUAUACUGGAUUUUUUAUAUCUCAGCAUUAUCUUAGAAGAGGAACUUUGGAGCAAAUGGUAAAUUUAUCUCCAUAUGACCUAUAGGUCACGGGUUCGUACUGUGGAAGCAGCCACUAAUGCUUGCAUUAAGGUAGGCUGUCUACAUCAACACCUCUUGGGGUGCGACCUUUCUCCAGAUCCUGCCUGAAUACGGGAUGUCUUGUAUAUUGGACUGCUCUUUUUUAUAACAUCAUUUAGUAUUGGUGCUUGUAAAUAAACUUUCUUUUUAUUACUCAUCACAAAAAGGAGGGAAAAUGAGAAGGCAAAAGAACCUACUUUUUUCUACUAAAUAACGCUACAAGUGCCAAACUGAAGUUCCAUAAGUCAGAUAUUCAAAGAAACCAAAUAAUUAUUUGUGCAGAGUACAACUCUUCAAGACAUUAUUGCUACAUAGCACAUUCCUUAAAUCUAAAUAUGUUCAGGGAGUUGUUAUUGCUCAAGACAAAUAUACAUACCUCACUCAUCAGACUCCUUUGAACUUCGCUCUUUAGUGAAUAAUCAAUCUAUACCAAAUUCAAAAAAUGAAAACAAGUUAGAUUUCAUGAAAUAUUGGAGAAGAUGUAAUUAAACAGAAAAUGUCCUUCAAGAUAUAGUCAACUUAAAAUGGUGAUUAAUCUUGAAACUUCCGAUUAGAAUUUAAUCAAUAUGAAUUUUGAAUGCUUGAUAAAUCAAGUAACAUCAAUGACUAUUCUGUAUUAUUUUGUCCACAACAGCAUCACAUGUAUGAAAUGCACUCAGUCUAAGUAUUAUGUUUUUCUUUUUCAAUUUCUUACUUUGUUCUUAUUAUCAAUUUGCAAUAUUUUUUUCCUAAUAAGCGCAUCAAUUUUGUAACACGUUAUAAUCACUUUGCAAUGAUUUAUGAACAAAAAAAAAGAAGAAAGUUAGAUCAUGUCACAGUUACCAAAUACACUCCACAAUAAUCAAUGCUAAACCAUCCUUGUUUUUAGUUUGUCCUCAGUCUUAGUACAUAAAUUCAUAGAAUAUAAAAUAUCUCAUGACAAUAGUGUAGUGUGCUAUAGAUUUAUUGUGUUGUAACUCACAAAUAAAACUAAUAUGAGAGAAUAGUAUAACGUUAUGAAGAACUUAAAUCCGAAAGUGUAAAUAGUAUAUGCUAGUGCAUGAAGACUCACACAACCUAUGUAGAAAAUAGAAAUUACAGUAAGCAAAUUAUAAGCAACAUCAGUGACUUUUCUAGUGUAUUUCAUGAGAGAAUAAAGCUAAAAUCCCAACUGCUUGUUUUAAAAACUGCUUGUAGAGAUUUAGGCCUUUCCAUCAUAAGGAUAAACAUAAAUACAUAAAAGAUAUAUGUUGAGGGAUCACAUAAAUGGUAUCAAGGUAGAUCAUUCAUAGCCUUUCUGAAAGUACAGAUGAGGAGCGUCGAGCCUUCCAUGACCGUGACAAUUAAAUUUUUUUCCAAUUUUUGAGUAUAAAGCCGUUUCAAUGAGGUAAAUUCUAAGUGGGAAUGACGCUUGUAAAUUCUUAAAAGAUCUGCAAAGUCAAGAAGUUGGAAAGAAUAUAGAGAAAAGAGAAACGAUAAUAAUGAUUGUCGUUACCACUAUUGUUAAAGGCAAAAAAUUUUAAAAGGCGCUCGAGG
rnacentral:lncRNA from 1 species